rnacentral:pre_miRNA from 7 species
AUACAUGCACAUAUGCACACAUACACAUAUAUAUGCAUGCAUAAAAUGUAAGACUUUCUUUCGGGGACCCCCACUCUAGUCUCGGGAAUGAAAGAGCACCCAAAGAAACACGAGAAUUC